rnacentral:rRNA from 1 species
GAACCAGUACCGUGAGGGAAAGGCGAAAAGAACCCCGGCGAGGGGAGUGAAAAAGAACCUGAAACCGUGUACGUACAAGCAGUGGGAGCCUCUUUUAUGGGGUGACUGCGUACCUUUUGUAUAAUGGGUCAGCGACUUAUAUUCUGUAGCAAGGUUAACCGAAUAGGGGAGCCGAAGGGAAACCGAGUCUUAACUGGGCGUUAAGUUGCAGGGUAUAGACCCGAAACCCGGUGAUCUAGCCAUGGGCAGGUUGAAGGUUGGGUAACACUAACUGGAGGACCGAACCGACUAAUGUUGAAAAAUUAGCGGAUGACUUGUGGCUGGGGGUGAAAGGCCAAUCAAACCGGGAGAUAGCUGGUUCUCCCCGAAAGCUAUUUAGGUAGCGCCUCGUGAAUUCAUCUCCGGGGGUAGAGCACUGUUUCGGCAAGGGGGUCAUCCCGACUUACCAACCCGAUGCAAACUGCGAAUACCGGAGAAUGUUAUCACGGGAGACACACGGCGGGUGCUAACGUCCGUCGUGAAGAGGGAAACAACCCAGACCGCCAGCUAAGGUCCCAAAGUCAUGGUUAAGUGGGAAACGAUGUGGGAAGGCCCAGACAGCCAGGAUGUUGGCUUAGAAGCAGCCAUCAUUUAAAGAAAGCGUAAUAGCUCACUGGUCGAGUCGGCCUGCGCGGAAGAUGUAACGGGGCUAAACCAUG